rnacentral:rRNA from 1 species
CUACGUAGCUCAGAGUUUGAUCCUGGCUCAGGAUGAACGCUGGCGGCGUGCUUAACACAUGCAAGUCGAACGAAGCACUUUGAAGUUUUCGGACUAAUGAGUGACUGAGUGGCGGACGGGUGAGUAACGCGUGGGUAACCUGCCUCAUACAGGGGGAUAACAGUUAGAAAUGACUGCUAAUACCGCAUAAGCGCACAGUACCGCAUGGUACGGUGUGAAAAACUCCGGUGGUAUGAGAUGGACCCGCGUCUGAUUAGCUAGUUGGUGAGGUAACGGCUCACCAAGGCGACGAUCAGUAGCCGACCUGAGAGGGUGACCGGCCACAUUGGGACUGAGACACGGCCCAA